rnacentral:rRNA from 1 species
UACAGAGGUCUCAAGCGUUGUUCGGAAUCACUGGGCUUAAAGGGCGCGUAGGCGGGUUCCCAAGUCGGUGGUGAAAUCUUUCGGCCCAACCGGAAAACAGCCGCCGAUACUGGGAGUCUUGAGGGAGGUAGGGGUCGAUGGAACUUCCGGUGGAGCGGUGAAAUGCGUAGAUAUCGGAAGGAACGCCGGUGGCGAAAGCGAUCGACUGGACCUUUUCUGACGCUGAGGCGCGAAAGCCAGGGGAGCAAACGGG